rnacentral:rRNA from 1 species
AGCAGCCGCGGUAAUUCCAGCUCCAAUAGCGUAUAUUAAAGUUGUUGCAGUUAAAAAGCUCGUAGUUGAAUUUCGGGGUUAGUAGGUUGGUCAUGCCUCUGGUAUGUACUGGUCUCACUGAUUCCUCCUUCCUGAUGAGCCUUAAUGCCAUUAAUUUGGUGUUUUGGGGAAUUUGGACUGUUACUUUGAAAAAAUUAGAGUGUUUAAAGCAAGCUAACGCUUGAAUACAUUAGCAUGGAAUAAUGAAAUAGGACGUUCGAUCCUAUUUUGUUGGUUUCUAGGAUUGACGUAAUGAUUAAUAGGGAUAGUUGGGGGCAUUAGUAUUCAAUUGUCAGAGGUGAAAUUCUUGGAUUUAUUGAAGACUAACUACUGCGAAAGCAUUUGCCAAGGAUGUUUUCAUUAAUCAAGAACGAAAGUUAGGGGAUCGAAGACGAUCAGAUACCGUCGUAGUCUUAACCAUAAACUAUAGCCGACUAGGGAUC